UACGGAGGUGGCAAGCGUUGCUCGGAAUCACUGGGCGUAAAGGGCGCGUAGGCGGGGAGGUAAGUCGGGUGUGAAAUCCCUCGGCUUAACCGGGGAACUGCGUCUGAUACUGGAUGGCUUGAAUCCGGGAGAGGGAUGCGGAAUUCCAGGUGUAGCGGUGAAAUGCGUAGAUAUCUGGAGGAGCACCGGUGGCGAAGGCGGCAUCCUGGACCGGCAUUGACGCUGAGGAGCGAAAGCCAGGGGAGCAAACGGG
rnacentral:rRNA from 1 species